rnacentral:rRNA from 1 species
GAUGAACGCUGACAGAAUGCUUAACACAUGCAAGUCUUUGGCGAAGCUGUGCUUGCACAGCCUAGCCAAGGCGGACGGGUGAGUAACGCGUAAGGAACUUGCCCUGCAGUCAGGGAUAACAGACGGAAACGACUGAUAAGACCUGGUAAAGUCAGGCGGACUCAUGUCCAGCCUGAUGUAAAGAGAUGCUGCAGGAGAGCCUUGCGUCCUAUUAGCUUGUUGGUGGGGUAACGGCCCACCAAGGCGAUGAUAGGUAGCCGGCCUGAGAGGGUGGACGGCCACAAGGGGACUGAGAUACGGCCCUUACUCCUACGGGAGGCAGCAGUGGGGAAUAUUGGACAAUGGGGGCAACCCUGAUCCAGCAAUUCUGUGUGCACGAUGAAGGUUUUCGGAGUGUAAAGUGCUUUCAGCAGGGAAGAAAAAAAUGACGGUACCUGCAGAAGAAGCGACGGCUAAAUACGUG